rnacentral:rRNA from 1 species
CUACGGGCCGCUCCAGUUAGGAAUAAUCUACAAUGCACGAAAGUGUGAUAGUUUGAGUCAAAGUGCGUUUCAAUUUGAAAUGCUUUUAUGGAAUGUAAAAAGUUCCACGAAUAAGGACUGGGUAAGACAGGUGCCAGCCGCCGCGGUAAUACCUGCGGUCCAAGUCGCAGCCAUUUUUAUUGGGUCUAAAACAUCCGUAGCUUGCUUGGUAAGUUUCUUGUGAAAUUCCAUAUCUUAAAUAUGGAGCGGGCAGGAAGUACUGCCAAGCUAGAGACUGGGAGACGUAAGAAGUACGUUCGAAGUAGCGGUAAAAUGUGUUAAUCUCGAGCGGACUCACAACAGCGAAGGCAUCUUACGAGAACAGUUCUGACAGUAAGGGAUGAAGGCUAGGGGCGCAAAACGGAUUAGAUACCCGUGUAGUC